GCUGCUAUGGAUCAUGAUGGCGUGGAUGAGAUACUUGACAAACAACUUGUAGGAAAAUGCAACCCUGAAGAAGCAGUAACUUUUCCAGAGCUUUGAGUCGAAUAGAGGAUCAACAAGUUGAAUUAAAUAGGUUAGCUACCAUGAACCACAGAGAAACUGGGUGAACACAAUUGCUUUUACUUGGAGUGGAAUCUCUUUCUGUACUCGUUUGGAAACAACUGAGAUGUACAGGAGAUUGAUGAAACAACUACGAAAUUUUGAAGCUACUGUCUCAGUUUUCUGCAAA